rnacentral:rRNA from 1 species
GGAUCAUUAAAGAGUUAAACAACUCCUAAACCCAUGUGAACCUACCUUUGUUGCCUCGGCAGGUCUGCAACUUACCCGGAGGGGACCUACCCUGUAGGGACCUUACCCGGUAGUUGCCGGCAUAACCUGCCGGUGGUCUACUAAACUCUGUUUACUAUGUUAUUCUGAAUAAUAUAACUAAAUAAGUUAAAACUUUCAACAACGGAUCUCUUGGUUCUGGCAUCGAUGAAGAACGCAGCGAAAUGCGAUAAGUAAUGUGAAUUGCAGAAUUCAGUGAAUCAUCGAAUCUUUGAACGCACAUUGCGCCCAUUAGUAUUCUAGUGGGCAUGCCUGUUCGAGCGUCAUUUCAACCCUUAAGCCCUGUUGCUUAGCGUUGGGAGCCUACAGAUACCCUCUGUAGUUCCUUAAAGUUAGUGGCGGAGUCGGUUUCACACUCUAGACGUAGUAAAUUUUAUCUCGCCUAUAGAUGAGCCGGUCCCUUGCCGUAAAACCCCCUAAUUUCUAAAGGUUGACCUCGGAUCAGGUAGGAAUACCCGCUGAACUUAAGCAUAUCAAUAAGCGGAGGAAAAGAAACCAACAGGGAUUGCCCUAGUAACGGCGAGUGAAGCGGCAACAGCUCAAAUUUGAAAUCUGGCCUUCGGGUCCGAGUUGUAAUUUGUAGAGGAUGCUUU